UACGGAGGGGGCUAGCGUUGUUCGGAAUUACUGGGCGUAAAGCGCGCGUAGGCGGACCUGCAAGUCCUGCGUGAAAUCUUGCGGCUCAACCGCAAGCGGUCGUGGGAAACUGGGUGGCUAGAGUGCGGGAGAGGAGAGUGGAAUUCCUGGUGUAGCGGUGGAAUGCGCAGAUAUCAGGAGGAACACCGAUGGCGAAGGGCAGGUCUCUGGGCCAUUACUGACACUGAGAAGCGAAAGCAUGGGGAGCGAACAGG
rnacentral:rRNA from 1 species